rnacentral:rRNA from 1 species
UUUAUUUGAGAGUUUGAUCCUGGCUCAGGAUGAACGCUGGCGGCGUGCCUAACACAUGCAAGUUGAGCGAUUUACUUCGGUAAAGAGCGGCGGACGGGUGAGUAACGCGUGGGUAACCUACCCUGUACACACGGAUAACAUACCGAAAGGUAUGCUAAUACGGGAUAAUAUAUUUGGGAGGCAUCUCUUGAAUAUCAAAGGUGAGCCAGUACAGGAUGGACCCGCGUCUGAUUAGCUAGUUGGUAAGGUAACGGCUUACCAAGGCGACGAUCAGUAGCCGACCUGAGAGGGUGAUCGGCCACAU